rnacentral:rRNA from 1 species
UACCAGCACCCCGAGUGGUCGGGACGAUUAUUGGGCCUAAAGCAUCCGUAGCCGGUUUUACAAGUCCUCCGUUAAAUCCAGCUGCUUAACAGAUGGGCUGCGGAGGAUACUAUAAGACUAGGAGGCAGGAGAGGCAAGCGGUACUCAGUGGGUAGGGGUAAAAUCCGUUGAUCCAUUGAAGACCACCAGUGGCAAAGGCGGCUUGCCAGAAUGCGCUCGACGGUGAGGGAUGAAAGCUGGGGGAGCAAACCGG